AUUUCCUUCAGCAGCAUAAAUACUGAAAUUGGAAUGAUACAGAAAACAUUAGCAUAGCCUCUGUGCAAGGAUGUCAUGCAAAUUCGUGAAGCAUUCCAUAUUUUU
rfam:Erinaceus europaeus unplaced genomic scaffold scaffold01198, whole genome shotgun sequence